GGGUACCUUUUCAGCUCUAGAGAAGAGCCUUCCCCUUCGGGGGACAAAGUGACAGGUGGUGCAUGGUUGUCGUCAGCUCGUGUCGUGAGAUGUUGGGUUAAGUCCCGCAACGAGCGCAACCCUUAAGCUUAGUUGCCAUCAUUAAGUUGGGCACUCUAGGUUGACUGCCGGUGACAAACCGGAGGAAGGUGGGGAUGACGUCAAAUCAUCAUGCCCCUUAUGAUUUGGGCUACACACGUGCUACAAUGGACAAUACAAAGGGCAGCUAAACCGCGAGGUCAUGCAAAUCCCAUAAAGUUGUUCUCAGUUCGGAUUGUAGUCUGCAACUCGACUACAUGAAGCUGGAAUCGCUAGUAAUCGUAGAUCAGCAUGCUACGGUGAAUACGUUCCCGGGUCUUGUACACACCGA
rnacentral:rRNA from 1 species